rnacentral:rRNA from 1 species
CUACGGGUGGCUCCAGGCGAGAAAACUUUGCAAUGUGCGAAAGCACGACAAGGUUAAUCCGAGUGGUUUCUGCUAAAGGAACCUUUUGACAGUCCUAGAAACACUGUUGAAUAAGGGGUGGGCAAGUUCUGGUGUCAGCCGCCGCGGUAAAACCAGCACCUCAAGUGGUCAGGAUGAUUAUUGGGCCUAAAGCAUCCGUAGCCGGCUCUGUAAGUUUUCGGUUAAAUCUGUACGCUCAACGUACAGGCUGCCGGGAAUACUGCAGAGCUAGGGAGUGGGAGAGGUAGACGGUACUCGGUAGGAAGGGGUAAAAUCCUUUGAUCUAUUGAUGACCACCUGUGGCGAAGGCGGUCUACCAGAACACGUCCGACGGUGAGGGAUGAAAGCUGGGGGAGCAAACCGGAUUAGAUACCCUUGUAGUC